CCGCCCCGCCCUGGGGCGGGACCGGGACCGCUCGAGCGGGAGCGCGCUGUGAAUCGGCACCGGGUCCGGGUCCGGGACCGGGACCGCCCGAGCGGGAGCGCGCCGUGAAUCGGCACCGGGUCCGGGUCCGGGACCGCCCGAGCGGGAGCGCGCUGUGAAUCGGCACCGGUACCGCCCGGCUGUCCCAGCAGUUACCGCGAUCCGCAGCUGCUGCCCCUGCCAGACCGGAAUGGCUACAGUGAUACAAUUCCCUAACGGGGACGCUGUUUCAGAAGAUUUGGAAAACAAAAAUAAGGCUCUUUGUAUCGCCAGAGCAGCUGCCCUGCCGUGCUGCUCCCUCGGCAGCCUCGCGGGAAAUUCAAGGUAGAGAAUGGUCUUUAGAAAAGUUAACUUCCAACCACGGUUUCAAAAUUGCCUGUAAAGAAAAUCCACCUCAGAAAUUGUUGAGCUGCUCUUCAAUUCCCAGCACUGCUCAGGCCUGUGCCUUGCUCACAGCCCAGGAGCUUUACUUUGAGCUGAAGUGCAAAUGCAGAUUUCCAGCAGUGGUGUCCCACAGAGUUGAUAGGGUCUAUGCAGUCAUUUACAGCAGAAUUUUGCUUCACAAUCUUUCAGGUGGGUCAGGACACACUGGGGGCAAUUCCAGUAAAGCUCCCUGGGCACUCCUGGGACCUUCACAGCCGGCUCAGCUUGGGCACAAACCUCCAGGAGCCCAGCCUGGCACUGCUUGGGUACCUGCAGGCCCCUUCUAGAAAAGUCUGGCUUGAUAUUGCAUUUCAAAGCCUUUUCUGAACAGAACGCUUGCUGAAUCUUUGCAAUGUGAUAAUGCCCAGCUGCUGAAACCAAAGCUAAGGCACCUUUUAGAGGCUGGUGUUUGUUGUGGUGUGUUCCAGGCGGCUGAGGCAGU